UCUUCUUGGCGGAGAGGGGCUGGCCGACCUUGCAGUUGUCGCGGUAGAUCGCGAGCGCCUUGACGCCGAGCUUCCAGGCCUCGAAGUAGACC
rnacentral:tRNA from 1 species